CCAAUAGCGUAUAUUAAAGUCGUUGCAGUUAAAAAGCUCGUAGUUGAAUUUCGGGAUUGACACAUCGGUCGUGCCUUAAGGGGUAUGAACUGGUGUAGUCAAUUUCUCACCUUCUGGAGAACCGCAAUGCCCUUAAUUGGGUGUCGCGGGGAACCAGGACCUUUACUUUGAAAAAAUUAGAGUGUUUAAAGCAGGCAUUUUGCUUGAAUACAUUAGCAUGGAAUAAUAAAAUAGGACGGCAUGAUUCUAUUUUGUUGGUUUCUAGGAUCACCGUAAUGAUUAAUAGGGAUAGUUGGGGGCAUUAGUAUUCAAUUGUCAGAGGUGAAAUUCUUGGAUUUAUUGAAGACUAACUACUGCGAAAGCAUUUGCCAAGGAUGUUUUCAUUAAUCAAGAACGAAAGUUAGGGGAUCGAAGACGAUCAGAUACCGUCGUAGUCUUAACCAUAAACUAUGCCGACUAGGAAUCAGACGAUGUUAAUUUUUUAAUGACUCGUUUGGCACCUUACG
rnacentral:rRNA from 1 species